AGGAUCUUACAUGGUUAACUAGUCUCCAAAGUUACAGACUGUUGUUUCAGACUUGGAAGUAGAAUAUUCUGAAGAGCCUGGCACCCUCUAUCAUAUCAAGUAUCGAGUCGCUGGAGGUUCAAGGAGUGGUUUCUUAACAAUAGGAACCACAUGACCUGAAACUUUAUUUGGUGAUGUAGCAAUUACUGUGAAUCCUAAGGAUGAGCGUUAUUCCAAAUAUGUUGGUAAAAUGGCUAUUGUUCCUAUGACUUAUGGUCGUCAUGUUCCUAUUAUCUUUGAUAAGGUA